UACGUAGGGUGCGAGCGUUGUCCGGAAUUACUGGGCGUAAAGAGCUCGUAGGUGGUUUGUCGCGUUGUCCGUGAAAACUCACAACUCAAUUGUGGGCGUGCGGGCGAUACGGGCAGACUGGAGUACUGCAGGGGAGACUGGAAUUCCUGGUGUAGCGGUGGAAUGCGCAGAUAUCAGGAAGAACACCCGUGGCUAAGGCGGCUCUCUAGUACGGUACUGACGCUGAGACGCGAAAGCGUGGGGAGCGAACAGG
rnacentral:rRNA from 1 species